rnacentral:rRNA from 1 species
GAAAUCCCUCGGGAUGUAAACUUCGCAAGAACGGGAAGAAUAAGUAGGGGACAAUACCCCCUAUGAUGACGGUACCGUUUGUAAGCUCCGGCUAACUCCGUGCCAGCAGCCGCGGUAAUACGGGGGGAGCAAGCGUUGUUCGGAUUUACUGGGCGUAAAGGGCGCGUAGGCGGCCAGCNCAAGUCAGUUGUGAAAUCUCCGAGCUUAACUCGGAAAGGUCAACUGAUACUGUGCGGCUAGAGUGCGGAAGGGGCAACUGGAAUUCUUGGUGUAGCGGUGAAAUGCGUAGAUAUCAAGAGGAACACCUGCGGCGAAGGCGGGUUGCUGGGCCGACACUGACGCUGAGGCGCGAAAGCUAGGGGAGCGAACGGGAUUAGAUACCCCGGUAGUCCUAGCCUUAAACGAUGAAUGCUUGGUGUCUGGGGUUAUAAAGUCCCCGGGUGCCGUCGCUAACGCUUUAAGCAUUCCGCCUGGGGAGUACGGUCGCAAGACUGAAACUCAAA